AAAUAGAAAGCUAGAAGCAUUUAAUUUCGACUUAAAAGAUAGGUACCAUAAGUAUCUCUAUUUA
rnacentral:tRNA from 1 species